rnacentral:rRNA from 1 species
AGAGUUUGAUCCUGGCUCAGGACGAACGCUGGCGGCGUGCUUAACACAUGCAAGUCGAACGGGAAGACAUUUCUAACACCGAGUUACUAAAAUGAUGCUUUAUAUAAGUGAUUGAUACUUUGGUGGUUCGGUGUUAGAAAUGGAUUCUAGUGGCAAACGGGUGAGUAACGCGUAGGCAACCUGCCCUUCAGAUGGGGACAACAUUUCGAAAGGAAUGCUAAUACCGAAUGACGUGCAUUGGUCGCAUGACCGAUGUACCAAAGGCCGGGCAACCGGUCACUGAAGGAUGGGCCUGCGUCUGAUUAGCUAGUUGGUGGGGUAACGGCUCACCAAGGCGACGAUCAGUAGCCGGUCUGAGAGGAUGAACGGCCACAUUGGGACUGAGACACGGCCCAAACUCCUACGGGAGGCAGCAGUGGGGAAUCUUCCGCAAUGGGCGCAAGCCUGACGGAGCAACGCCGCGUGAGUGAAGAAGGUUUUCGGAUCGUAAAGCUCUGUUGUCAGGGAUGAGAGACUUGAUCAGGAAAUGGGUCAAGGAGGACGGUACCUGACGAGAAAGCCACGGCUAACUACGUGCCAGCAGCCGCGGUAAUACGUAGGUGGCGAAGCGUUGUCCGGAUUAUUGGGCGUAAAGGGAGCGCAGGUGGGAUUGUAAGUCAGUCUUAAAAGUUCGGGGCUCAACCCCGUGAUGGGAUUGAAACUAUAAUUCUUGAGUGCAGGAGAGGAAAGCGGAAUUCCUAGUGUAGCGGUGAAAUGCGUAGAUAUUAGGAGGAACACCAGUGGCGAAGGCGGCUUUCUGGACUGUAACUGACACUGAGGCUCGAAAGCGUGGGGAGCGAACAGGAUUAGAUACCCUGGUAGUCCACGCCGUAAACGAUGAAUGCUAGGUGUAGGAGGUAUCGACCCCUUCUGUGCCGGAGUUAACGCAAUAAGCAUUCCGCCUGGGGAGUACGGUCGCAAGACUGAAACUCAAAGGAAUUGACGGGGGUCCGCACAAGCGGUGGAGUAUGUGGUUUAAUUCGACGCAACGCGAAGAACCUUACCAGGUCUUGACAUUGAGUGAAAGACAUAGAGAUAUGUCCCUUCUUCGGAACACGAAAACAGGUGGUGCAUGGCUGUCGUCAGCUCGUGUCGUGAGAUGUUGGGUUAAGUCCCGCAACGAGCGCAACCCCUGUCCUGUGUUGCCAGCACUUUAGGUGGGAACUCACAGGAGACUGCCGCGGAGAACGCGGAGGAAGGCGGGGAUGACGUCAAGUCAUCAUGCCCCUUAUGACCUGGGCUACACACGUACUACAAUGGGGCGUACAGAGGGCAGCGAAGGAGCGAUCCGGAGCGAAUCCCAAAAAACGCCUCCCAGUUCGGAUUGCAGGCUGAAACCCGCCUGCAUGAAGUCGGAAUCGCUAGUAAUCGCAGGUCAGCAUACUGCGGUGAAUACGUUCCCGGGCCUUGUACACACCGCCCGUCACACCACGGAAGUCAUUCACACCCGAAGCCGGUGGGCUAACCUUAUGGAAGCAGCCGUCUAAGGUGGGGGCGAUGACUGGGGUGAAGUCGUAACAAGGUAGCCGUAUCGGAAGGUGCGGCUGGAUCACCUCCUU